rnacentral:rRNA from 1 species
GAGUUUGAUCCUGGCUCAGAAUCAACGCUGGCGGCGUGCCUAACACAUGCAAGUCGAACGCGAAAGCCCGCAAGGGUAAGUAGAGUGGCGCACGGGUGAGUAACACGUGGACAACCUGCCUUCGAGUGGGGAAUAACCUUCCGAAAGGAGGGCUAAUACCGCAUAACACCUCGGGACACAAGUUCUGGGGUUGAAAAGAGCGAUUUGCUCGAAGAGGGGUCCGCGCCUGAUUAGCUAGUUGGUGAGGUAACGGCUCACCAAGGCUUCGAUCAGUAGCCGUCCUGAGAGGGAGCACGGCCACACUGGAACUGAGACACGGUCCAGACUCCUACGGGAGGCAGCAGUCGAGAGGCUUUGGCAAUGGGGGAAACCCUGACCAAGCGACGCCGCGUGGAGGAUGAAGGCCCUUGGGUUGUAAACUCCUUUUGCUGGGGAAGAAAUGCGAUCAGGUAAACAAUCUGGUCGUUUGACGGUACCCGGCGAAUAAGCUCCGGCUAACUCCGUGCCAGCAGCCGCGGUAACACGGGGGGAGCAAGCGUUGUUCGGAAUCACUGGGCGUAAAGGGCGUGUAGGCGGUUCGGUAAGUGGAAUGUGAAAUCCCUCGGCUCACCCGAGGACCUGCAUCCCAAACUGCCGAGCUUGAGUAUGGGAGAGGAUGAGGGAAUUCCUGGUGUAGCGGUGAAAUGCGUAGAUAUCAGGAGGAACACCGGUGGCGAAGGCGCUCAUCUGGCCCAAUACUGACGCUGAGGCGCGAAAGCUAGGGGAGCAAACGGGAUUAGAUACCCCGGUAGUCCUAGCCGUAAACGGUGAUCACUAGGUGUUGGAGGCAUCGACCCCUCCAGUGCCGCAGCUAACGCAUUAAGUGAUCCGCCUGGGGAGUACGGCCGCAAGGCUGAAACUCAAAGGAAUUGACGGGGGCCCGCACAAGCGGUGGAGCAUGUGGUUUAAUUCGACGCAACGCGAAGAACCUUACCUAGGCUUGACAUACACGGGAAACCGGUCAGAAACGGCCGGCCCUCUUCGGAGCCCGUGCACAGGUGCUGCAUGGCUGUCGUCAGCUCGUGUCGUGAGAUGUUGGGUUAAGUCCCGCAACGAGCGCAACCCCUGUCUCUAGUUGCCAGCGCGUCAUGGCGGGGACUCUAGAGAGACUGCCGGUGCCAAACCGGAGGAAGGUGGGGAUGACGUCAAGUCAUCAUGGUCCUUACGUCUAGGGCUACACACGUGCUACAAUGGCGGGGACAGAGGGUCGCGAGCCGGCAACGGCAAGCCAAUCCCCGAAACCCCGCCUCAGUUCGGAUUGUCGUCUGCAACUCGACGGCAUGAAGCUGGAAUCGCUAGUAAUCGUGGAUCAGCUACGCCACGGUGAUACGUUCCCGGGCCUUGUACACAC